CACGUAGGGUGCGAGCGUUGUCCGGAAUUAUUGGGCGUAAAGAGCUCGUAGGCGGUGUGUCGCGUCGGCCGUGAAAACCUGCAGCUUAACUGUGGGCUUGCGGUCGAUACGGGCAUCACUGGAGUUCGGCAGGGGAGACUGGAAUUCCUGGUGUAGCGGUGAAAUGCGCAGAUAUCAGGAGGAACACCCGGUGGCGAAGGCGGGUCUCUGGGGCCG
rnacentral:rRNA from 1 species